rnacentral:rRNA from 1 species
UGAGGAAUUUUGGACAAUGGGCGCAAGCCUGAUCCAGCAAUGCCGCGUGCAGGAUGAAGGCCUUCGGGUUGUAAACUGCUUUUGUACGGAGCGAAAAGGUCUGCUCUAAUACGGUGGGCUCAUGACGGUACCGUAAGAAUAAGCACCGGCUAACUACGUGCCAGCAGCCGCGGUAAUACGUAGGGUGCGAGCGUUAAUCGGAAUUACUGGGCGUAAAGCGUGCGCAGGCUGGUAUAUAAGACAGAUGUGAAAUCCCCGGGCUCAACCUGAGACCUGCAUUUGUGACUGUAUAGCUAGUGUACGGUGGAGGGGGAUGGAAUUCCGAGUGUAGCAGUGAAAUACGUAGAAAUGCGGAGGAACACCGAUGACGAGGGCAAUCCCCUGGACCUGUACUGACACUCAUGCACGAAAGCGUGGGGAGCAAACA